rnacentral:sRNA from 1 species
GUUUAGCCCUGAUCGAAACGGCAUCCUUUUGUUGCGGGGUUCGCAACAAAAGAUAUAGUGAAGAGCAGGACCAAAC